rnacentral:rRNA from 1 species
GACGAACGCUGGCGGCGUGCUUAACACAUGCAAGUCGAGCGGUAAGGCCCUUUCGGGGGUACACGAGCGGCGAACGGGUGAGUAACACGUGGGUGACCUGCCUUUAGCUCUGGGAUAAGCCUGGGAAACUGGGUCUAAUACCGGAUACGACUCCGCGGUGCAUGCUGUGGGGUGGAAAGCCUUGUGCGGCUGGAGAUGGGCCCGCGGCCUAUCAGCUUGUUGGUGGGGUGAUGGCCUACCAAGGCGACGACGGGGUAGCCGGCCUGAGAGGGCGACCGGCCACACUGGGACUGAGACACGGCCCAGACUCCUACGGGAGGCAGCAGUGGGGAAUCUUGCGCAAUGGGCGAAAGCCUGACGCAGCGACGCCGCGUGAGGGAUGACGGCCUGG